AAAGGCUGCGCGUGUUUCUCCGUCCAGGAGGGAGGAACACGGAUGAAGCUGCCAGGCUGCGAGGAUGAGAAGCACUGCAGUCGUCGGAGAGAGGAAGAGAGAGAAAGAGAGAAAUCGGCAAAUAUCUGUGCCUGGAAAAAAAGCGGAUAUUCCAGUCUGUGCUUUCCCGUUCCGCUCUCCGUCUCACUGUCUUCCAGGUCAUUUUCUCCACAUGCACUUGAACUCCAAAUCCUGUCUGCCGGCCCCUCCCCCCGACCUCUGUGACUCGCUCUCCUUCUGAUGGAGGCUUGAAAUAGUGCUCGCAGGCUGUAAGUGAGAGUGAGAGCGAGGGGAGGACGAGGGGGACAGAAAGGGAGAGAGACGUGGGGGGAAGGGGAGAAGGUUUACACGAACAGACUCUGUGCCGAGAGUGAGUGUGUGUGUGUGUCAGACGGAGAGAAAAUGAGAGGAAGAAACCCUGUGCACAUACAUGUGUUCAGAGAUUUGGUUCUCAGAAAUUACAGUGAACUGCAAAAAACAUUAAUUCUUGGAACCAAUUUUAAACAGGGCCAUCUAUUGUCUUUGAGGGGCCAUGGCUCACUUGA